AGAAAGCCACGGCUAACUACGUGCCAGCAGCCGCGGUAAUACGUAGGUGGCAAGCGUUAUCCGGAAUUAUUGGGCGUAAAGAGAGAGCAGGCGGUUAUUCAAGUCUGAAGUGAAAAGCAGUGGCUUAACCAUUGUAGGCUUUGGAAACUAGAUAGCUAGAGUGCAAGAGAGGUUAGCGGAACUCCAUGUGUAGCGGUGAAAUGCGUAGAUAUAUGGAAGAACACCAGUGGCGAAGGCGGCUAACUAGCUUGAAACUGACGCUCAGUCUCGAAAGCGUGGGUAGCAAAUAGGAUUAGAUACCCUAGUAGUCCACGCUGUAAACGAUGAGUACUAGGUGUUGGGGAAACUCAGCGCCGAAGUUAACACAAUAAGUACUCCGCCUGGGUAGUACGUUCGCAAGAAUGAAACUUAAAGGAAUUGACGGGGGCCCGCACAAGCAGUGGAGCAUGUGGUUUAAUUCGACGCUACGCGAAGAACCUUACCAGGACUUGACAUCUGAUUAAAGGCUCUAGAGAUAGAGAGAUAGUUAUAGUCAAGACAGGUGGUGCAUGGUUGUCGUCAGCUCGUGUCGUGAGAUGUUGGGUUAAGUCCCGCAACGAGCGCAACCCUCGUCCUUAGUUGCCAGCAGUAAGAUGGGAACUCUAAGGAGACCGCCGGUAUAAGCCGGAGGAAGAUGGGGAUGACGUCAAAUCAUCAUGCCCUUUAUGUCCUGGGCGACACACGUGCUACAAUGGCCGGUACAAAGAGAAGCAAGACCGCGAGGUGGAGCGAAUCUCAUAAAGCCGGUCUCAGUUCGGAUUGGAGUCUGCAACUCGACUCCAUGAAGUUGGAAUUGCUAGUAAUCGCGAAUCAGCCAUGUCGCGGUGAAUACGUUCCCGGGCCUUGUACACACCGCCCGUCAAACCAUGAGAGCUGGUUUUACUCGAAGUCGUUAUUCUAACCGUAAGGAGGAAGGCGCCUAAGGUAGGACUGGUGAUUGGGGUUAAGUCGUAACAAGGUAUCCCUACGGGAACGUGGGGAUG
rnacentral:rRNA from 1 species